CCCUUAGAUGUCCUGGGCCGCACGCGUGCUACACUGAUGCAUACAGCGAGUACUUUCCAGCUCCGCGAGGCAGCUGGUAAUCAGCAAUAUGCAUCGUGCUGGGGAUAGAUCUUUGGAAUUAUAGAUCUUGAACGAGGAAUUCCUAGUAAGCGCAAGUCAUCAGCUUGCGUUGAUUACGUCCCUGCCCUUUGUACACACCGCCCGUCGCUCCUACCGAUUGAAUGGUCCGGUGAAGCGUUUGGACUAUGGUUUUCUGAUGGUCCGCCGUUGGAUUACCGUGGGAAGUUCGUUAAACCUUAUCAUUUAGAGGAAGGAGAAGUCGUAACA
rnacentral:rRNA from 1 species